UAAAUUUACUCAAAUCAAAACACACUGUGUCACAAAAGCCUGUACUUCCUCAUUUUCUCUGUUCUUUGUCAAAGCCUUUUAAUCAGAUUUUUGCUCUCUCUCUUGACUCAAAAAGUUUAGAAAAAAAUUCAUUGUUUCUGUUGGUUUUGACUCACUUUUCUGUUUUACAACAAGUACAGAUAUACAUUCCAUUUAAAGACCUCAUAUCAUUCACGCAAUUCUAGACUCGAAUGUUGGGUUAAAGCUUGAUUUUUCAUUAGUUUGUUUAAUAUAUUUUUCUUUUCCAGGGCAUCUUCAAUUUAUUCUUGUAGAUGUGUCUGUAUGUUUAAUUUUCGAUCUUGACGGUUGAAAGAUGAAGCUGAGAAAAUCAGUGCUUUUCUGGCUGAUAACUACGGUUCUUGCCCAAAUUGUUCUUUACACUAAUACUAUUGGAACCUAUUACACUUCACCUUCUUGUAAUUUCCACUUUUCAUCUUUUUUUUCUUCUUCUCAAUUUUCUGUGUCUUUUUUUUUCUUUUUCCCCCUCAGAACUAUGUCAAGGGAUCCUUUUGAUUUGUGCUUUUUUUUCAGCAGCUAGGAAUUUCUUGAAGAAGUUUCAUCCUUUACGGUGAUGAAAUCAGGCAUUAAAUCUAAUGCCUGAGGUUUGGAUUAUUGAUUUUCCGUUUUUCUUUUUUUUUUUUCCCUGGGAAUUUUUAGUUUAAGGGAAAUUUCUAAUCUUUUAUAAUAUCUGUGCAUUUCCAUAGGAGUCAUAUGCAAUACCGAAAGAACCACUGGUGGCUGUUUAUUCUGAAAAUUCUUUUCAAUCUGUUUUAAAUUAUUCUGAUGAUUCGAGCCUGGAGAAUUCGCGAAUCACAAGACAACUCACUGUAAGAAUCAUUGAGCACUAAUGAUGGCAACAAGCAGGCUGUGGACGGGAAAUCGAUACAGGUGACUGAAACGGGCAUGAAGCUCGGACCGACGGGGAAAAUUCCAAGAAAAAUGAAUUAAUUGGGGGAAAUGGAGCAUAAAUUGAUCCCAAGAAUGAAAAUAAUUCUCAGAAUUCUGAGUGCAUAUUGAGCAAAAUUCCUCUGGGGGAAAGGGUUCCUGUUAUGAAACAAAACACGAGUAAUUUGGAAAUCUACAAAACACGGUAGUAGAGAGCAAGGGAAGACUACGACUGAGAAAGAGAAUGAACCAACAAUUUUGCUCGAUGCACGUGUUUGUCAUCUUAAGGAUCAACUCGUAACAGCAAAGGUUUAUCUUUCCUUCUCUGCGACUUGAAACAAUCCCCAUUUCAUGAGAGAGCUCUGAUUACAUAUAAAGGAAGUCCUACGAGCAACUGGGGAUGCCACAAAGGAUUCCGAGAUAGAAAAAAUAAGCCUUUUUGUUGGAUAUCCUUACUUUUCAAUGUUUAUAGGCUCUCAAGCUUUUGAUCAAAUGGCUUGGAGGUUUUCAUUGUUCUUUUUCAUUUUUUCAACAUUCUUUUGUUAUUGUAUACUUCACUUGUUGUGUUCUAAUUUCAGUACCUACGAGAAGCUAAAAACAAUGGAGCAAACUUUGGUGAAAGGCAAGCAAAUACAAGAUGACUGUGCUGCUGUGUUAGGAAGCUACGUGCAAUGCUUCAUUUGACAGAAGAGCAACUCCGAGCUCACAAAAAGCAGGCCUUAUUUUUUAUGCAUAUAACUGCCAAAACACUUCCUAAAAGACUUCGUAGUCUUCCUUUAUGCCUAUCAACAUAGUUUUUCAUGUGGAAUUCUUCUUAGUGGCAUUUUUUGAACCAAGAAAAAUUAGUAGAUUCCAAGCUAUACAGAUAACAUAUUGGCAGCAGUAGUUGUAGGGAAUUCAACCACAACUCAUGCAAAGUUAAAAGGAUUAAUUUCUUAUGAAAAUUUCACUCUUUGGUUUUCAUUUGAAGGUUGAAGAAACACAGAGAUCUUUUGUUCA